CAGUCGAACGGCAGCGCGGGGAGCUUGCUCCCUGGCGGCGAGUGGCGGACGGGUGAGUAACGCGUAGGAACCUACCCAGUAGAGGGGGACAACCCGGGGAAACUCGGGCUAAUACCGCAUACGCUCUACGGAGGAAAGCAGGGGAUCUUCGGACCUUGCGCUAUUGGAUGGGCCUGCGUUGGAUUAGCUUGUUGGUAGGGUAAAGGCCUACCAAGGC
rnacentral:rRNA from 1 species